rnacentral:ncRNA from 12 species
GGUUAGCUCAGUGGAAGAGCGCCCGGCUUUUAACCGUGUGGUCGUGGGUUCGAUCCCCAUAU